UUGGCUGUAAUGUUCUUUCAUUUGCUUGAUUGUCUAUUCGAAUGAGUGCUUAUUUCUUAUUUGAUGGCAAUAAAAAGACAGAGUUGCAGGCAUGUCUCAAAGAUUUCCUAUUCCAUCAAUUAAUUUGUUGUCAUUUUUGCUACUUUUCCCUUUUGACAUCCCAAUAGACAGAAGUCGGCCCAAAAAUUGUACUGUGUUACAUCCUGUCUUUGCCCUGUCAUGCUGUAAAUGAUUAAUGUAUGUCAGCUCCUGCAUAGUAAGAUGCUUUGUUAAUUGGUACUAUUUACUUCUGGCCUACGUGAAAUGAAGCUUAUGCAUGUUAAUAUUAGAACUGAACCUUUUUGUUGUUUGGCCUUUUCAUUUGCAUUGUGAAAAUAGAAAAUGUGCUGUAAUCAUGCUUUUAACCUAAUUUUCUGAUUUUUCUAAUAACAAGCUCGUCUUCUUCCUUGCUAAUAGCUGAGUAUAAGUUCUACGACCAUCAGUCUUUCGGAGCCUCACAUCUUAACUCAUUUCAGGGUGAAAAUCCUAAGAAACCAGGCAGUCCCCACAAUGUUCGUCUAUAUUCAAUUGCAUCCACCAGAUAUGGGGACUCUUUUGAUGGGAAGACGGCCAGCUUGUGUGUCAGACGAGCUGUCUACUAUGAUCCUGAGACAGGAAAAGAAGACCCUUCCAAAAAUGGUGUUUGCAGCAACUUUCUGUGCGACUCAAAGCCUGGUGACAAAGUGAAGAUCACAGGUUAAAUCCAAAUAAUCCUUUUACCGAUGUUAUUCAAAGAAGACUCAUACCAACACUACUCGUCUUCCAUGCAUUGCAUUCUAAAAUUUUCAUCUCUGAUCACAUUAAUUGCAUUUUGGCGCAAUGAGUAGGUUUUCCCAAGCUUUCAAAAGAGUGAAAAGGAAAUGAUCUUUUAGGCAGCAUACUGUUGAAAAUUGUCUUGUCAACAGGAAAUUAUGUUGUUCAGUAGACCAUUUAGGUUGUACGCAUAACAGAUUGAAGAUAUCUGCCUUUUCCUUGUGUACUUGUAAAUUCCAGCUGCUAUGCUUAUUUUUCUCCUAAGGGGUCGUUUGGUUCAAUUGUGGGAUAAACAAGGAUAUCCCAUGAGAUUAGCUAUCCACCUUCUAUAUAGGAUAGCUAAUCCUACCAUUUUGGUAUAAAAUUUAUCCCACCAUUAACGAAUACCCACAACCAAACAUGGGAUAAAUACAAUCCCAUGUUCUAUCUCGGGAUUAGUAUUCUUAUCCCGGUAAUCAAACAACCCCUGAGAGUAAGCAUCAGAGUUUUGUCUGGCACUCUCUCUUGAAUUUUUUACCUUGACUAUCUCUGAUCAUAUGACAAAUCCAUAAAUGCCUAUUUUGUACUAGUGAUUUCCUUGCUAUUAUUUAGAAAGGACCCUUCCCUUAGUCUGUUGUAUGGUCCUUCUUGAUUUAACAUUGGCAUAACUAACCCUUUUGCAGUUGCAAACUUCCCAAUAAAGAACUUCUUAACUCAAUGGUGUUCCUACACUGUCACCUUUUGCUCCUAACCAUGUGCUUCUAAUAAAUAAGAUACCCUGCUGAGAAUUAAAAUUCCUGUUGAUACUUCACAUCUAAAUAGUCUCUGUCAUUUGGCUCUUGGAUUCUUAUAAUUUGUUGGUGGGUUGCAUAUAUAGGGUGAAAUACUUGAGAUUCAGUUUUGUCCGCCAUUGACCACCCUUUGGAUGUUUCUGCAGGUCCUUCUGGUAAGAUAAUGCUUCUACCAGAAGAUAAUCCAAAUGCCAAACACAUCAUGAUUGGAACUGGAACUGGUGUGGCUCCCUUCCGAGGCUACCUUCGUCGUAUGUUCAUGGAAUCGGUUCCAACUAAGUUUAAUGGCCUUGCUUGGCUUUUCCUUGGGGUUGCAAACACUGACAGCCUUCUAUAUGACGACGAGUUCACCAAGUAUCUCAAUGACUACCCAGGCAAUUUCAGAUAUGACCGUGCUCUUAGCCGUGAACAAAAGAACAAUAAAGGGGGGAAGAUGUAUGUCCAGGAUAAAAUUGAGGAAUACAGUGAUGAGAUCUUCAAACUGCUGGAUGAAGGGGCCCACAUCUAUUUCUGUGGGUUGAAGGGGAUGAUGCCCGGAAUCCAAGAUACCCUGAAGAGGGUUGCUGAGGCGAGAGGUGAGAGCUGGGAGCAGAAGCUUUCACAGCUCAAAAAGAACAAGCAAUGGCAUGUUGAAGUCUACUGAUCAAGAAACGUCAAUCGUUGCAUUUGUUUAAUGAUUAUUGAUUGUUGUCAAGUGAACUUAGCAAGCAGUUUAGAUGACACAUUGUACUGCUAGUAGACAUAAAAAGUAUUCAAUGCUGCAAGGGAAAUGAAAUAAUAACUGUUGGUACCUUCAGGCAGUUGAUACUUUGCACUUCUGUAUUUCUUUUGCAAAUAUCUCUGAUAGGCAUUUCACAGCUGCUCUAUUGCAAGGGAAAUAAUAAAUUGCUAUGAGUGCUUAUUGUUGCCUGUGUUUCUGCAAAUGCUUGGUUGUUAAUAUAUUGUAGCUGAAAUGAAAGCCAGGAGAGGGACUAAGCUGCACCACACGUUUCAGCUUAUUUUAUCCUCAGGAUGGAAAAAGUGCUUGACAUCAAAAUGAGUGGUUUUGAGUUCUGUUGCACAGGAGUAGGCGUUCAGGACAAUAGUUGAAAAAAAACAGUAUAUGGAUUUGAAGUAGAAAAAGGUUUAUAGAAAUUUAAGGUUUAAAAACAUUAUGUGUGUAUAGAAGGGCAGCCCAAUGCACUAUUCCGCUAUGUGCGGGGUCCGGUGAAGGGCCAGACUAUAAUGGUCAAUUAUAUAUAUAUAUAUAUAUAUAUUGGUUUUCUACUUGACGUUUCGUACCUGCAUUGGGUCUAAUUAAAUGCUUUCACAAGUCUCCAAUACAUCAUUAUGUUCUUUUCUAGAAACAUUAUAUAUAGACUUCGAUGAUAUCAUCACCAACCACUUUCCAGACAAUUCUAAAAAUUUUACUCAAAAGAGUGCGCAAAUUACAAUAAUCAGAAAGUCUGCAAAAGGAUACAAUCAAGUGAUGAUAUCUAAUUUCAUUUCUUCUAGGUCUAAUUUCUUUUGUUGCUAAAAUGGUUCUUCUAGGUAUAUAAUAGUAUUAAUUAUUAAAUUUGAAGAUAGAAGAUAUUGAGGUAGGAAUUAGGUUCAUAGAGUAGCAUAUUCGGCAAUCCUAAAAGUUGGUAUCAAUAUUUA
rnacentral:lncRNA from 1 species